rnacentral:rRNA from 1 species
AUUGAACGCUGGCGGCAUGCCUUACACAUGCAAGUCGAACGGCAGCACGGGAGCAAUCCUGGUGGCGAGUGGCGAACGGGUGAGUAAUAUAUCGGAACGUAUCCUGUAAUGGGGGAUAACCAGUCGAAAGAUUGGGUAAUACCGCAUACGCACGAGAGUGGAAAGUAGGGGAUCGCAAGACCUUACGUUAUAGGAGCGGCCGAUAUCUGAUUAGCUAGUUGGUGGGGUAAAGGCCUACCAAGGCGACGAUCAGUAGCUGGUCUGAGAGGACGACCAGCCACACUGGGACUGAGACACGGUCCAGACUCCUACGGGAGGCAGCAGUGGGGAAUUUUGGACAAUGGGCGCAAGCCUGAUCCAGCAAUGCCGCGUGCAGGAUGAAGGCCUUCGGGUUGUAAACUGCUUUUGUACGGAACGAAAAGGCUCUGGUUAAUACCUGGGGCUCAUGACGGUACCGUAAGAAUAAGCACCGGCUAACUACGUG